rnacentral:lncRNA from 1 species
GACUGACUCCAUUCGUCCACUUCAGAAGCGUUUACCCAUGUUAUAUUUUCGCGGGCUUUCAGCACGAGAUUCUCAAACCCGAGCAGUUGCUCCACUUUCUCUGGAAGUUCAAAAGAAUGCUUUGCGCCCAAAGCGAAACGCAGCUCAAAUUCGAAAAACGUGAGCAGCGUGGAGAAGAAGAGCCAGGUCGGGUUCCUUCGGAGUGAAAUCCUUCAGAUCAGGUCUCUCCAUGGGAGUCGACGUCUCUUUUUUCGCAGUAAAAUACUGCUUCAGAGGUCGCUGGAGAAGGCCGAAAUUUUGGAAAGAACUGUAUAAUGGUAGUGAUGAAUCAUCGAAGCCUUCAGGGAUGUUUUCGGUGGGGAGAUAGAGGGGCAACAGGUGUACGGCGGCCUUACCCGCAAUACUGAUGGCAGCUCGCGUCUUUGUACUGCUGGUUCCACAUGCGGAAUUCUCACCACUGUGCAGAGAGUUUGAGGCUGCGGAAUCACUUGUUGAAGCUUGUUCGUACGUUUGCGCGGAGAAAGAUUGAGGAGACGACGCCGGUGCUGCGGAGGUCUUUGAGGAAGUGGCGUUGCUUUCGACGUCGUCUCCACGGUUACAUUGGCCAUCGAAUGAGGAGAGGAUCUCAUCAGCAAGAAUAAUAUUUAGUAGAACGGAGGAGUUUGGAAGGAUUUCCAGCGCAUCUUGGGCUGCUGCCUCAGCUAACAGGGGGCACUUUCUCUGAUGUCUUUGUUGCCCGUCAUUACUAUGGAGAGGCGCGACUACUUGUUUACCGUGCCCGUCCGCUGGCUUGUGAACAUCUUCGCAGGAGAUGACGCGAUCCUCAGAUGAGUUCGAAGAGACAUUCUCUGCUGAACACUGGGAACGAUCGAAUUGGUCAAGGCCGCCGGCGUCUGCUUUUCGCGAUGUAACCAGCAGCCUUGGGAAGAAAUACUCGCAGCAUAGAAGCGUUUUCUUAUGCAAAUCAAUCAUUUGCCACACACGCCGCUCGAUAGCAUCCACGUACCCCAUUUUUGCUUCAAUCGAAAGGCCUCCUUCAUCGAGGUCCAGGGCUUCUGGCACGUAAAGAAAGUCGUCCCAAGCCGCGGGCCCAGAAUCUACAGUAUUGGCUUCAGGAUGUAUCAUUUGUGGACCGGGAGAGCCUGUGGGUUCCGUGCCAUUGUUGGCGACGACCCGCUCCUGCUCCAUUGGAUACCAAGAAGUAGAUGGUACAUGAGGAACGAGAAAAAGAGAAGAAGGUGGAGAGAGGGAGGGAGGCGGCUCCUUAUUCCUGGAGCUAUCUGCCUUGUGACUUGCCUGUUGUACAGCUUUCUCGGUCGUCUUGUUUCUCCAUCCGCUCGUAUGUUCCUCAUCCUGUUCCAGUCGGGUCGGCAGCUGCUUUCUCCUGUGUGCCGUUGGAGCUUCUUCUGAGACACCAUCAUCGUCACGGGUCAGAAGCUGAUUGACACAGGGAAUACUUGCAAGUGAACUGCAUUGGUCAAGCCUCUCGUCCUGAGUCUCCUCAUGAACUUGCAGCUGAGAAGAGUAGCGUAAAAUGCUGACGCCAACAUGGUUGCUUCCUUUCUUUCCAACGGCCUCUAGAGUCGGCAGAGAUGUAUUGACCGCUGACUCAACGCGACCCGUAGAAGCGUCUUCACUGUGAGGGAACAGCAAAUGAAACUUUCUGAUGGAGACCGGGAACUCUAUCGGUAGCACCGGCAUCUCCACUAAUGUUGUGAAGUUCCCUUUAUUGUAGAGGGGCCCGGGCUCCUCAGUUUCGAGGGAAGGGUUUUCUGACGCUACCUUAGUAUCUUCCCAUUUGCUUUUCUUUGACGGCCAGGUGCAGUUGCCCGCUUCUGACAGUCUCGAGAACGCAAUGACAGCCUCAUGCACAGAUCCUGGUUGCUUUGCCCCAGCAACGUUGUUUUUGACUCGUAGUCGAAGCCCCUGGCUGCAAGAUACGUCAUGGGAAAGCCUGGGAAUCCGUACAGAAUAUGGUAUCGGAGCCAAAGUCGACGUACGCCACGUCUCCGUAUCGCAAGAAGCGAGGAAGGCGGCUACUGAGAUUCCUUCACCUUGUUCCUCGUCUCCUUCCGCAACAUUUAGGAUUCUGUUUUCAACAGAUGAGGCUUCCCCGACGCACAAUUCCGACACAAGCAGGAGUCUGACCACCAUUUCCGUCUCUGCGCCCUGUGCCGCGACGUUGAGGGUCCCUCGAGCCUCCGCUUCUCCCUGCGGAGCGACAACAGGAGACACUGAGAGGACGCGAGGCAAAAACUGGACCGAUGGAAUUCUUGGAGAGGCAAUAACGGGACGCGAAAACGAACGAACCUUUACUGGGAUGAUAUCAGCUCUCGUCCUCGUCUCCACAUGAAACGAGGAAGCGAAAUUAUCAGAGGUACAGAACAGCGGAGGAGUAUGCUCCUCUUCGUUUAUUGCUAGUGGAUCGUCACCUUGCCCGUCACCGGCCUCAGCAGCAGCAGAAAAAGGCCUGAGCAAAUAAGAGACAUUUUCUCGCUCCCUGGAAUUACUUGUGACAAAAGAAGAGGGGACGGCAUGUCCUCGAAUGUGUUUCCAGUCUUGAGUGUCCUCGUCUUUUAUCAGUUCCAUUGCAACCGACGGCGACACAAUGCGAAUAGCGGGCGUCUGCAGAAGGCGUUGUGUCGCGUUUCUGGGAAUUUUGAGUUUAAGAGAGAACGAGCCCAGCUCGUUUAGGGGAACGAGGAAUUCGGAACACGGAGGAUCAACGUUUGAAACUGCCUUUGUGCUGCCCUUGUGGGGGAUGCCGUCUUCGUCCACUUUUCCUGAGUUGACCGUGGCUUCCUCCGCCUUCACUCUCCCUGGGGUAGAUUGGCGAGCACUUGAAGACGAAUAGAACACGUUUGAAUCCCUGUCCGCAUCUGCUCUCAGAGGCGGAACAGCACCUGGGAUAUUCCCUUUGCUGUGUCCCCUCGCUAGGCCGUUCGCGGACUGAAGCCUGACAGCUCGUGCGGAAGGUGCAUUCUCGCCUGAACGGACUUUUCUUGGAACUAAUAGAGCUGCUUCUUGUCCCCCUCCGGUUGCACGCCCAAUCGUUGUUAUACCCAGGGAAGCGGAGGGGUGAGCUGAGGGCUGGUUCCGUGGAAUGACGGAUGUAGGCUGUCUUGGCGGAUGACGACUAUCUUCAUCAGUCCACCGAAAUAACCAUUUCCCCGGAAAUUCCGAUACCUGUUCGAGGAGUUUUGGGAGGAUAACUCAGACGGGGAAGGCGAUCGCCCACUGGACGAUCAACAACAUCAACAAUGAUUUCUGCCGUCCGACAGUUCAUCGCGUCGUGCCGGUCCGAGUGCCAUGGGUCUUUGGAGGAGGAUACUCCUUUUUCUUCAAAAGACCACUGUUGAUGAGGAAGGAUUUCAUAGGUAGCGAUUAUUGUCACCCCAACGCCUAACGAAGUAAAACCAACAAGGGACGCGGGCGGGACAGGUCCUUGCAUUUUGCUAAAUCGACCAUGCAUGUCAUUUGAGGAACUCGCGCUUCGCCUCCACUGCAGCAGAGUCACUGGAGCAGAGCUCUGUGGAGCUGCAGCGACGAGAGGAAUGGGAAUGAGUCGACUCAAUGGUGAAUUCACACGAGACGACGGAGACGGAGAAGGCGACAUGUCCGCAGAAAUCCUGACCAAUUGCGAGGCAGGCCUGGGUCAGAAAGAUGAAAGGCGCAGUAUCAUGGAGUUUCGAGUGAGUGUCAAGGAAGUAAGAAUAAGGACAGUAUUCUGGGGGGGGGGGGGGGGGGGGGUAAUAAGAUGGCAUUGUACGGCAACAACGAAGGACAUAUAACGCCUCAAGAGUUAUAAACUCCCAUCACCCUUAUCGGCUCGAGAAAUCAGGAAAAAGUUGAGCUGUUGUCGGAUGAAGGCAAAAUUGAAUUGAAUUCAAAAUGCAAUUCAUGGGUAAAAUACGUAAUAAACUCGAUGCAGCGAAGCUCUGCCCCAGAGAUGCAGAGCGUGGCGUCGCUGUUGCCCCAUUUGUAACAUAAAUAAUGCGUAAUUGCGAAUUAAUCGCGAACAAUACCAUCAUAAUGCAGUCGAGUAAAUCGGUAGAGAAUGAAGAACUUUGGGCGCCAACGAUACACAUCUGCGGAUGUGCACAGGAACACUCAGACGUAACCGCUCUAUUGCAUUGUCUUCGUGAAAAGAUGUCAGGGUGCCAUGUAAAUGUAACAUGCUUUAAUGAGGGAAGGAGGCCCUUUGUCUUGCGUUCUUGAAGUUGUUAAGAUGCACCGUUUGAGAGGAAGGGUAUCUACUAUUGAAUGCCAUCCGGAUUAAUUCUGGUGGCGGUCGACCUGCUUGUGGCUGUAUUGGAAUGUUUUUUCGAUACCGCCAUAUUGCGUAGGGGCACUUCAGCCGCUCUACGUUUAGCCACUGCAUGACACUUAUCCUACACUUAAGCUUUAUUUCUGCCGGUACAGAUGCCUCGCCCACGAGUGUCCAUCUGGCUCCUUCAAGCAGGGUCUAAUGUUAUUUACACUACCACCUUGCAAAAUCAGCUGCCUGGAGAGUCAUCAUGUAGACGCUACAUACACUGUUGCGACUAACACUAGCUGCUAGAUGAGGGGGUUCGUAUUCUUACGGUGUCGGUAGCUUUUUACCACACUCUGUUCAAUCGAUUACGCUUCCCCAUCCAAUACCGAAACAUGUUACUCAACAUACCUUAACAGAAGCGAGGAUUGCCUGUAGAAAUUCACUUCCACCGCUUGGAGAGCCUGAAGAAGCAGUUCACUCCGAGACGUUGCUUCUUGAGUGUCCUCGAAACUUUCACGUCCCUCCGGCUGUCCUAAGUUACCGUGGCUUCGUCCCACUUCGUGCUUGUUGUGUUUUCUGAAAAGAUCAUCCAGGGGUGUGACGAAGACGUCCCACGAAUCGAUGGUAGCAGACGGAGGUCUACGGGACCCUUCCUGCGAUGAUGUUGGCCAUAGAGUAUCUCCUUUGAAGUCGAUUGUUCGAUGGGGAGUCAUGCUUUUGAAAGCCGAAUACACUUCCAUCCCGCCCUUGGUCUUCAUGCUCACUAUGAAAAGCAUCACAAAAACAGAUCCCAGUAGAAACUCAUAACCGAU